GUAGGUGGCAAGCGUUGUCCGGAAUUAUUGGGGCGUAAAGCGCGCGCAGGCGGUUCGUUUAAGUCUGAUGUGAAAGCCCACGGGCUCAACCGUGGAGGGUCAUUGGAAACUGGAGAACUUGAGUACAGAAGAGGAAAGCGGAAUUCCACGUGUAGCGGUGAAAUGCGUAGAGAUGUGGAGGAACACCAGUGGCGAAGGCGGCUUUCUGGUCUGUAACUGACGCUGAGGCGCAAAAGCGUGGGGAGCAAACAGGAUUAGAUACCCUGGUAGUCCACGCCGUAAACGAUGAGUGCUAAGUGUUAGGGGGUUUCCGCCCCUUAGUGCUGCAGCUAACGCAUUAAGCACUCCGCCUGGGGAGUACGGCCGCAAAGGCUG
rnacentral:rRNA from 1 species